GAUGAACGCUGGCGGCGUGCCUAAUACAUGCAAGUCGAGCGAACGGACGAGAAGCUUGCUUUUCUGAUGUUAGCGGCGGACGGGUGAGUAACACGUGGAUAACCUACCUAUAAGACUGGGAUAACUUCGGGAAACCGGAGCUAAUACCGGAUAAUAUUUUGAACCGCAUGGUUCAUAAGUGAAAGACGGUCUUGCUGUCACUUAUAGAUGGAUCCGCGCUGCAUUAGCUAGUUGGUAAGGUAACGGCUUACCAAGGCAACGAUGCAUAGCCGACCUGAGAGGGUGAUCGGCCACCCUGGAACUGAAGCACGGUCCAGACUCCUACGGGAGGCAGCAGUAGGGAAUCUUCCGCAAUGGGCGAAAGCCUGACGGAGCAACGCCGCGUGAGUGAUGAAGGUCUUCGGAUCGUAAAACUCUGUUAUUAGGGAAGAACAUAUGUGUAAGUAACUGUGCACAUCUUGACGGUACCUAAUCAGAAAGCCACGGCUAACUACGUG
rnacentral:rRNA from 1 species